rnacentral:rRNA from 1 species
AUUGAACGCUGGCGGCAUGCUUUACACAUGCAAGUCGAACGGUAACAGGCCGCAAGGUGCUGACGAGUGGCGAACGGGUGAGUAACGCAUCGGAACGUGCCCAGUCGUGGGGGAUAACGCAGCGAAAGCUGUGCUAAUACCGCAUACGAUCUGUGGAUGAAAGCGGGGGACCGUAAGGCCUCGCGCGAUUGGAGCGGCCGAUGUCAGAUUAGGUAGUUGGUGGGGUAAAGGCUCACCAAGCCGACGAUCUGUAGCUGGUCUGAGAGGACGACCAGCCACACCGGCACUGAGACAGGGCCCAGACGCCUACGGAGGGAAGCAGUGGGGAAUUUUGGACAAUGGGGGCAAGCCUGAUCCAGCAAUGCCGCGUGCAGGAAGAAGGCCUUCGGGUUGUAAACUGCUGUUGUACGGAGCGAAAAGGCUCCCUCUAAUACAGGGGGCUCAUGACGGUACCGUAAGAAUAAGCACCGGCUAACUACGUGCCAGCAGCCGCCGUAA